UACGAAGGGGGCUAGCGUUGCUCGGAUUGACUGGGCGUAAAGGGCGCGUAGGCGGUUCGUACAGUCAGACGUGAAAUUCCUGGGCUCAACCUGGGGGCUGCGUUUGAUACGUGCGGACUUGAGUGCGGAAGAGGGUCGUGGAAUUCCCAGUGUAGAGGUGAAAUUCGUAGAUAUUGGGAAGAACACCGGUGGCGAAGGCGGCGACCUGGUCCGAUACUGACGCUGAGGCGCGA
rnacentral:rRNA from 1 species